UUCCAAGAUCACCACUAUCGUUGCACCCAUCUUCAUAUUGACGCUCUUUGUGUCUUUUGGUGAGGUUGAGGGAGAGUGCAAAGACAAACCCAUCAAAUGGUCUUGUAAAGAUUGGGUAAUAUGUUAUGAGUGGUGCGUUCUCAUGGGCUCCACAAAAGGGUAUUGCCGUGAUGGUUCAUGUGUGUGUGUGAAUUGCGAUGGCCACCGUUCUACAGGGGCGCCACCAGCUGAUUCUGUUUUGACUUGAGUGGACCAUUGUAAGGAUGUGUGUUUAUGGUUAACCAUUACCUCAUUAAUAAAUUUUAUCAUCAAAUAUGAUGAAUUUA